rnacentral:rRNA from 1 species
CUUUUAAAUAAGUAAGAGUUU